rnacentral:rRNA from 1 species
CGCGUAGACGGUUUUGUAAGUCAGAUGUGAAAUCCCUGGGCUCAACCUGGGAACUGCAUUUGAAACUGCAUGGCUAGAGUAUGGUAGAGGGAAGUGGAAUUUCCGGUGUAGCGGUGGAAUGCGUAGAUAUCGGAAGGAACACCAGUGGCGAAAGCGACUUCCUGGACCAAUACUGACGUUCAUGUGCGAAAGCGUGGGGAGCAAACAGGAUUAGAUACCCUGGUAGUCCACGCCAUAAACGAUGACAACUAGAUGUUGGGAGGGUCUGCCUCUCGGUGUCGCAGCUAACGCGUUAAGUUGUCCGCCUGGGGAGUACGGCCGCAAGGUUGAA